UGGGGAAUUUUCCGCAAUGGGCGAAAGCCUGACGGAGCAACGCCGCGUGAGGGAUGAAGGCCUCUGGGCUGUAAACCUCUUUUCUCAAGGAAGAAGAUCUGACGGUACUUGAGGAAUAAGCCACGGCUAAUUCCGUGCCAGCAGCCGCGGUAAUACGGGAGUGGCAAGCGUUAUCCGGAAUUAUUGGGCGUAAAGCGUCCGCAGGCGGCCUUUUAAGUCUGUCGUUAAAGCGUGGAGCUUAACUCCAUUUAAGCGAUGGAAACUGGAAGGCUAGAGUGUGGUAGGGGCAGAGGGAAUUCCCGGUGUAGCGGUGAAAUGCGUAGAUAUCGGGAAGAACACCAGUGGCGAAGGCGCUCUGCUGGGCCAUAACUGACGCUCAUGGACGAAAGCCAGGGGAGCG
rnacentral:rRNA from 1 species